AGUGAACGCUGGCGGUAGGCCUAACACAUGCAAGUCGAACGGCAGCACAGUAAGAGCUUGCUCUUACGGGUGGCGAGUGGCGGACGGGUGAGGAAUACAUCGGAAUCUACUUUUUCGGGGGGGAUAACGUAGGGAAACUUACGCUAAUACCGCAUACGACCUACGGGUGAAAGCAGGGGAUCUUCGGACCCUGCGCGAUUGAAUGAGCCGAUGUCGGAUUAGCUAGUUGGCGGGGUAAAGGCCCACCAAGGCGACGAUCCGUAGCUGGUCUGAGAGGAUGAUCAGCCACACUGGAACUGAGACACGGUCCAGACUCCUACGGGAGGCAGCAGUGGGGAAUAUUGGACAAUGGGCGCAAGCCUGAUCCAGCCAUACCGCGUGGGUGAAGAAGGCCUUCGGGUUGUAAAGCCCUUUUGUUGGGAAAGAAAAGCAGCAGGUUAAUACCCCGCUGUUCUGACGGUACCCAAAGAAUAAGCACCGGCUAACUUCGUG
rnacentral:rRNA from 1 species